rnacentral:rRNA from 1 species
AUUGAACGCUGGCGGCAGGCCUAACACAUGCAAGUCGAGCGGUAGAGAGGUGCUUGCAUCUCUUGAGAGCGGCGGACGGGUGAGUAAUGCCUAGGAAUCUGCCUAGUGGUGGGGGAUAACGUUCGGAAACGGACGCUAAUACCGCAUACGUCCUACGGGAGAAAGCGGGGGAUCUUCGGACCUCGCGCCAUUAGAUGAGCCUAGGUCGGAUUAGCUAGUUGGUGAGGUAAUGGCUCACCAAGGCGACGAUCCGUAACUGGUCUGAGAGGAUGAUCAGUCACACUGGAACUGAGACACGGUCCAGACUCCUACGGGAGGCAGCAGUGGGGAAUAUUGGACAAAUGGGCGAAAGACCUGAUCCAGCCAUGCCGCGUGUGUGAAGAAGGUCUUCGG